rnacentral:rRNA from 1 species
UGGGGAAUAUUGGACAAUGGGCGAAAGCCUGAUCCAGCAAUACCGAGUGAGUGAUGAAGGCCCUAGGGUUGUAAAGCUCUUUUAGCAAGGAGGAUAAUGACGUUACUUGCAGAAAAAGCCCCGGCUAACUCCGUG